rnacentral:rRNA from 1 species
GACCGUGCAAAGGUAGCAUAAUCAUUUGCCUUAUAAUUGAAGGCUAGUAUGAAUGGUUUGACGAGAAUUAAGCUGUCUCUUUUCAACUAAAUAUAACUUUAUUAAUAGGUGAAGAAGCCUAUAUUAAAUUGAAAGACAAGAAGACCCUAUCGAGCUUUAAAUAAUUUAAUAGACUAAUAAUAUAUUAAUAAAAAAAUUAAACUAUAAAGAAUUUUGGUUGGGGCGACCAAGGAACAAAUAAAGCUUCCUUUAACUUAGUUAAAUACAAACAAGUAUUGAUCCAGCUAGACUGAUUAGAGAAAUUAGUUACCGUAGGGAUAACAGCAUAAUCCUCUUUGAGAGUCCUCAUCGAAAAGGGGGUUUGUGACCUCGAUGUUGGACCAGAAUACCCAGAAGAUGCAGCCGUCUUCAAUGGUUGGUCUGUUCGACCAUUAAAAUUCUACGUGAUCUGAGUUCAGACCGGCGUGAGCCAGGUCAGUUUCUAUCUUCAAUUUCUAAACUAGCUUUAGUACGAAAGGACCAGGCUAUUAUAAUAUUUUUGUUGCGAAUUGAUUAAAUAUAAGUAUUUAUUGAACCAUUAGUAAGAAUCAAAUUAGCAAAGAUUAAUGCAAUUGACUUAGGAUCAAUAGACAUAGGCGGAACUCCUUUAUUUGAUAUAUAAGAAGAUAAAGAUGGCAGAAUAA